rnacentral:rRNA from 1 species
UACGAAGGGGGCUAGCGUUGUUCGGAUUUACUGGGCGUAAAGCGCACGUAGGCGGAUCGUUAAGUGAGGGGUGAAAUCCCAGGGCUCAACCCUGGAACUGCCUUUCAUACUGGCGAUCUCGAGUCCGGAAGAGGUGAGUGGAACUCCUAGUGUAGAGGUGGAAUUCGUAGAUAUUAGGAAGAACACCAGUGGCGAAGGCGGCUCACUGGUCCGGUACUGACGCUGAGGUGCGAAAGCGUGGGGGAGCAAACAGG